rnacentral:rRNA from 1 species
AACGAACGCUGGCGGCAGGCUUAACACAUGCAAGUCGAACGGGUGUAGCAAUACAUCAGUGGCAGACGGGUGAGUAACACGUGGGAACCUUCCUAGGGGUACGGAACAACUCAGGGAAACUUGAGCUAAUACCGUAUACGUCCGUAAGGAGAAAGGUUCAUCGCCCCUAGACGGGCCCGCGUCGGAUUAGGUAGUUGGUGGGGUAACGGCCUACCAAGCCUACGAUCCGUAGCUGAUCUGAGAGGAUGAUCAGCCACACUGGGACUGAGACACGGCCCAGACUCCUACGGGAGGCAGCAGUGGGGAAUCUUGGACAAUGGGCGCAAGCCUGAUCCAGCCAUGCCGCGUGAGUGAAGAAGGCCUUAGGGUUGUAAAGCUCUUUUACCAGGGACGAUAAUGACGGUACCUGGAGAAUAAGCCCCCGG